CUCCCUCUCUCCCUCCCUUCCUACUAAAAACCAAUAAGGCUAGGGAGCCUAUCUGCAUAGUUCUGUGAAUGUCUCGGAACAAAGCAAUACACAGAAGCUAAUGCUCUCAUCCUGUGUAAGAUACAAAUCUUGUCACAUCAUGGACCAUCGUGGAGCAUGAAGCUAUUUCUAAUGUGAUGGGGGAAAUGUUUCUAGCAGAAGAGCAAGACAUGGUCCUGGUGCAUGAAAGGAGCCUAAGAAAGAAGAGUGAAAGCUGCACGUGUGUGAGUAUCUAGCAGAACAUCUAGAAAAUGCACACCAACCUCCAGCAGCAGAAAACAGUCUACCUCCAGAAAGCCAUAAAAGAGAAAAGAAUGUUGUACCAAACUAAGCAAAUGAAGCAUGAAAUGAAAAGCCGGUUGAGCUGGGAGGUAUAAAGAAUGGAAAGGAAGCAGCUACCACCCCUGGUAACCCCAUCAAUCCGGAGAAGCUUCGCAGAGUUACACUGUGCUCUGUCGGAGGAAGUCUAAAAUAACACAUGGGUGUCUCGGCCUUGGCACAGCUAAACCCUGGAACAUUGAACUGAAGUCAUAACAAUGGGUAAUAUUUUAAUAUAAUGAAAAAUUAUCAUUAACUUUUCUCGACAGGAAGGAAAUGAAUUUUCCUCAUUGUACACAUUCCGAGAAAAAUGAGGCUAAGACUAUUUCAAAGGAUGUUCUACCUAAUUCGAAUGGGCUUUAAGUGCCAUCUUCACAAUAGCGCCAGAGUCUGGUGUCAGCAAACUGAACAAAUAGAGCUACAGGGAGCGAAUGGGGCUGGGUGCCUCUCCAAAACAUAUGCAGAUGAACUUGAGAUUUCAGAGGACGGUUAAUCCUACACAGCAGUCAAGUGCCUUCCCAGGGAGCAUCCUGGCAGGCAUCCACUGUGCCAUAUGCUUUCGGGAAGUCUGGAUGCUGAAUGUGGUGGCUGUGGGGAAUUGAGCCUUAUUGCUUCAUAAGAUUCCUGGUGGUAGAACUAUUCUGAACAAGAACACGUCCGUCCCCAUAGGUGUGCUCCAAGAAUCACAGAAUAAGAAGGGACUUCGGAGAGAGCCUCACACAGUUGGGCAAUGGGAGCCCAGAGAGGCAAGGAAGGCUCCUUGCCCAAAGUCUUGUACAUCUGAAUCUGCAACUCCUGACUAUUUUUGAGUCUUAUGCUCCAGGCUAAAACUUGUGACUUUAAGUGUGAUGUUCUCGGUGAUGAUUAAUCUAGGAUGUUUCUGUUGUUUUCUUACCGUCAAAGAAUUAACAUCAAAAGGAAAGGAAGGAAGAAAUGUAGAAGUGAAGGCAAGAAGGAAGGAAGGAGGAAAGGAAGGAAGGAAAAUAUAGGCUUUGGGUAAAAAUAAGUUUCUACUCAACACUGACAAAGGUACAGGUUUUGGACAUUGGUUUCCUAAUCUGUAAAUGAGGAAUAGUCAUCACAUCGCUGUCCUGGCUGGUUUUGUGUGUCAACUUGACACAAGCUGGAGUUAUCACAGAGAAAGGAAAGAAAAUGCCUCCAUGAGAUCUAGCUGUAAAUGGAUUAGUGAUCAAGAGUGGGAGGGCCCAGUGUGGGUGGUGCCAUCCCUGGACUGGUGGUCCUGGGUUCUACAAGAAAACAAGCUGAGCAAGCCAGGGGAAGCAAGCCAGGGGAACAUCCCUCCACGGCUCUGCAUCAGCUCCUGCUUCCUGCCCUGUGUGAGUUCCAGUCCUGACUUCCUUUGGUGACGAACAGCAAUGUGAUAGUAUAAGCUGAAUAAACCCUUUCCUCCCCAAC
rnacentral:lncRNA from 1 species